rnacentral:lncRNA from 1 species
GGCAACCCGGUCAGGUCCCCUUCCAUGCUGUGGAAGAUUUGUUCUUUCACUCUUCACAAUAAUUCUUGCUGCUGCUCACUCUUUGGGUUCGCACUACCUUUAUGAGCUGUAACACUCACUGCGAAGGUCUGCAGCUUCACUCCUAAAGUCAGUGAGACCACUAACCCACCAGAAGGAAGAAACAACUCCAGACAUGCCACCUUUAAGAGCUGUAACACUGCAAAGGUCUGCGGCUUCACUCCUGAAGUCAAGCGAGACCAUGAACCCACCAGAAGGAAGAAACUCCAGACCCAUCUGAACAUCUGAAGGAACAAACUCCGGACACACCACUUUUAAAAACUGUAACACUCACCGUGAGGGUCCUCAGCUUCAUUCUUGAAGUCAGCAAGACCAAUAACCCACCGGAAGGAACCAAUUCUGGACACAUUUUGGCAACCAUGAAGGGAUUAUCGCCUAUCGCCAAGGGGAACCUGCGGGACCAUCAGAUCAGGAGUCCCAAGAUCAGCCAGACCAGCCUCGAUACACCUGCGAACCAUUGGAGGACUUUCAUCUCCUAUUUCAGAAGGAAACAUCCCAGACUAAAAAGGCUCCUACCACUGAUCCUGAAGAAACACCCCUUCCUACUUAAAAAAGAUAAGUGAAGGCCUACAUAAUCUUUAUCUUUAACAUCUCUCCUUGCCCCUUUAAUGGAAUCCUUUUACUAUUUCAUCAUAUUAUUAAGCAGCAUACUAACCAUACUCUUUGCAAUAGGAUUAUACUGUAGCUCCUGCCAGGAUGAAAAUCCUAAUCACAUCAACCUUCUUUCUUUCUAUCUUCCUUCCUUCUGACAGCAAUUUACUCCUACCUUUAACUCAGACUGAAUAAAAUGAUCUCAUCUUCCAGAGCACCCUCUUUACCUUCCAAUUUACUCUUUGCCUGUCUAUUCCUCCUGCUUCCUUGGAUACCUCAUACAAUCACCCCUCCCCUUCCACUAGCUCCUAAUUACCUCUAUAAGACUCUCAACUUAACCCACUCUCUGUUAAACUAGUCCAAUCCUCCCCUGACAAAUGACUGUUGGCUUUGUAUCUCUCUAUCAACUUCUGCUUAUGUUGCCACUCCCAUUCCUGCAAAAAACUGGGUCUUUACCAACUUAACCUACCACCCUCGUUAUGAAGGAAAAGACCCUUUCCGAAUUCUAAAUAUGCAAUCAUUAGCCAACUUCCCCAUCUCUGAUAGGACCAAGAAUACCCUAACAGGACAUGCAAUCCAACUUUUACAUUCUUACAUUUCCAACCUCACUUAUUACACAAGCAAUGAAAAGCCCAUACAUGGCCCUGUAACUACGAAUACUAUCUUAACUUUCCAAGCCCCUUUAUGCAUCCAACGCAACAUGUUAUCAGGCCUGCCCCUGGGGCACCUACUACCCCAUCAGUGUAAUUACAUCCUACAACUUCAAGCCCCAACUGAUCAUAGUAACUUCCGAGUCACCCAAACAGCUCCAUUCAGAUGGCUUGUCCACUUCUCAGGGCCCCCAAAAAUCAUCACCUCCUCCCUACUUAACAAACAGUCCAGGUUGUAAUGGCAAACAUGCUCCCUGCAUGACCAUUCACCCCUGGACCCCCUGCAGCAGCACCCCCACCACUAGUGAAUGCCUUCUCAUCCCCUCUUUCAAUCACUCUCAAAUGGUUCCUAGUAGAUACAAAAUGGUUUUGUCUCCAAUGGGAAAAUAGAACACAGGGAGCCACUCAGUUUGCUCCCAACACCCGUUUCCAGCCACUCACCAGAGCUACCUUGACAAGUACUCUGGGAGUAUGGGAAAAUGAAAACAAUAAACUCACACACCUUUUUAACAUACACAAACCAGUUAUCUCUACCCAGCCGAGGUAUAGUCUUUUGUGGAACGUCGACCUAUAUCUGCCUCCCGACUAACUGGACAGGCACCUGCACCUUAGUCUUUCUAAGUCCCAACAUUAACAUUGCCCCAGGAAAUCAGACCCUAUCAGAAUGCCUCAAAGCUCAAGUCUGUCAGCGCAGAGCCAGACAACUAAUACCCCUACUUAUAGGGUUAGGAAUAGCUACUGCUACAGGAACUGGAAUAGCCAGUUUAUCUACUUCGUUACCCUACUACCACACACUCUCAAAGGAUUUCUCAGUUUGCAAGAACUAAUGAAAUCUAUCCUUACUCUACAACCCCAAAUAGACUCUUUGGCAGCAGUGACUCUCCAAAACUGCUGAGGCCUAGACCUCCUCACUGUGGAGGAAGGAGGAUUCUGCACCUUCUUAGGAGAAGAGUGUUGUUUUUACACUAACCAGCCAGAGAUAGUACAAGAUGCCACCCAGUGUUUACAGGAAAAGGCUUCUGAAAUCAGAUGCCUUUCAAACUCUUAUACCAACCUCUGGAGUUGGGCAACAUGGCUUCUUCCUUUUCUAGGUCCUGUGGCAGCCAUCUGGCUAUUACUCGCCUUCAGGCCUUGUAUUUUUAAUCUCCUUGUCAAAUUUGUUUCCUCUAGGAUCAAGGCCAUCAAGCUACAGAUGGUCUUACAAAUGGAACCCUAAAUGAGCUCAACUAACAACUUCUACCAAGGACCCCUGGACUGACCCAUUGGCCCUUUCACUGGCCUAAAGAGUUCCCCUCUGGAGGACACUACAACUGUAGGGCCCCUUCUUUGCCCCUAUCCCACAGGAAGUAGCUAGAGCAUUCAUCACCCAAUUCCCAACAGCAGUUGGGGUGUCCUGUUUAGAGAGGGGAUUGAGAGGUAAAGCCAGCUGGACUUCCUGGGUCAAGUGGGGACUUGGAGAACUUUUCUGUCUAGCUAGAGGAUUGUAAAUGCACCAAUCAGCACUCUGUAUCUAGCUAAAGGUUUGUAAACACACCUAAUCAGCACUCUGUAAAAAUGGACCAAUCAGCACUCUGUAAAAUAGACCAAUCAGCGCUCUGUAAAAUGGACCAAUCAGCAGGAUGUGGGUGGGGCCAAAUAAGGGAAUAAAAGCUGGCCACCUGAGCCAGCAGCAGCAAGCCGCUCAGGUCCCCUUCCACACUGUGGAAGCUUUGUUCUUUCCUUCUUCACAAUAAAUCUUGCUGCUGCUCACUCUUUGAGUCCGUACUACCUUUAUGAGCUGUAAAACUCACUGCAAAGGCCUGCAGCUUCACUCCUGAAGUCAGCAAGACCACGAACCCACCGGGAGGAACAAACAACUCCAGAUACGCCACCUUUAAGAGCUGUAACACUCACUGCGAAGGUCUGCGGCUUCACUCCUGAAGUCAGCGAGACCACAAACCCAUCAGAAGGAAGAAACAACUCUGGACAUGCCACCCUUAAUAGCUGUAACACUCACUGCAAAGGUCUGCACCUUCACUCCUGAAGUCAAGCAAGACCACGAACCCACCAGAAGGAAGAAACUCCAGACCCAUCUGAACAUCUGAAAGAACAAACUCCAGACACACCAUCUUUAAGAACUGUAACACUCACCGCGAGGGUCCAUGGCUUCAUUCUUGAAGUCAGCGAGACCAAUAACCCACCGGAAGCAACCAAUUCUGGACACAUCAGCUCGCUGCAACCUCUGCCUCCUGGGUUCAAGCAAUUGUCCUGCCACAGCCUCCUGAGUAGCUGGGAUUACAGGUGUGCACCACCACACCCAGCUAAUUUUUGUAUUUUUAGUAAAGACGGACUUUCGCCAUGUUGGCCAGGCUGGUCUUGAACUCCAGACCUCAGGUGAUCUGCCCGCCUAGGCCUCCCAAAGUGCUGGGAUUACAGGCAUGAGCCACUGCGCCUGGCCUAAGCAAUGUUUUUUUAAAAAACAUUCACACACUAAUUCCAAGAAGGUUUUUUACAACAGUUCAGGAAUGUAGUGCAUUACAAAUAGAAACUUGUUUUUAACACAGAAGUGGAAUGCGGUUGAUACUUGGCUGUAUUAAUAUUUGUGUUACCCAAAAAAGUACUGGAUGCAAACUAUAUAUAUAAAUCUGAGAUCUAAUGUGGAUGCUUAAAAACGAACUUUUAAAAGUUCUUUUAAACCAAAAUUUUAAAAGUAAGUCCAUUUUUAUAAAAAUUAAUCUAUACGUAUAUGCGUAGAAAAAUCUGGAAGGAAAUAUUCCAAAUAGUAAUAUCAAAUAGCUCUGGAUUAUAUGAUUAUAGAGUGUUGUUUUUAUGUUGUUAAUUUUUUUUUUUUUUUUGAGACGGAGUCUCACUCUGUUGUCCAGGCUGGAGUGCAGUGGCACAAUCUCAGCUCACUGCAAUCUCUACCUCUCAAGUUCAAGUGAUUCUCCUGCCUCAGCCUCCCAAGUAGCUGGGACAAGAGGCGCACACCACCAUGCCUGGCUAAUUUUUGUAUUUUUAUUAGAGACAAGGUUUUGCCAUGUUGCCCCAUCUGGUCUCAAACUCCUGGCCUGAAGUGAUCCACCCGCCUCAGUCUCCCAAAGUGCUGGGAUUACAGGUGUGAGCCACUGUGCCUGGCUGCUGUUAAUUUUUUUGGCAAAAUGAGUUUUGCCAAACUCAUUUUACUGCUAGAGAGUUUUCUUUUUUUUACGUCUUUCUAUAAUAUCUGACUUUUUUACAUGAAUAUAAACUUCCUUUAUACUCAAAGGGAAAAUAAUCAAUAAUCCUAUUUUUAUUUUUCAAAAGAGAAAAAUAAAGGAGGGAAAAGUCUAAUAGAAUGAAAGUAGAUAAGAGUUGCUCCCAGGCCAGGGAGCUGGAACUAACCAGAAGGACUAGUUCGGAAAUGGCCCAGGCUGAGUGAGAUACCAGCUCCCUAAACAGCCUCUGACAAGAGGAAAGGCAGCCAUGCACAUGAGCAACUUUGAAGUCAGAUGGUUCCAGAAAGCGCCAGGCAUGGGCACCAGAUGCUGGUGGUCCUCAGAGGAGAGCUCUGCACUAGACACAAAGGUCACAUGGCCCCAGUCCUAGGAGAAGCAUCCAGUCUAGACAAGCUAAUGAAAACCAUGGUGAUGUCAACAGAGAGCCACAACUGGUUUCACAAACCACUAGUAAAACGUUCAAGUUCCAGAAAUUGAAGGAACACACAAUAAAACAAUAAGUCCUCCCUCUUCACCUAUCAAAAGAGUAAAGAAUUUUUAAAUGCUGGUGAGGGUGUGCUGGAAUUAGUGCUCAUUCACUGCUGUUGGGAAUUAUUGCAUUGCUAAUGUGGUUUGAAAAGCAAUACGGUGGCUGGGUGCUGUGGCUCACGCCGGUAAUCCCAACACUUUGGGAGGCUGAGGUGGGUGGAUCACCUGAGGUCAUGAGUUUGAGACCAGCCUGGCCAACAUGGUGAAACCCCACCUGUACUAAAAUACAAAAUUAGCCAGACGUGGUGAUGCAUGCCUGUAAUCCCAGCUACUUGGGAGGCUGAGGCAGGAGAAUAGCUUGAACCUGGGAGCUGGAGGUUGCAGUGAGCCAAGAUCGUGCCAUUGCACUCCAGCCUGGGUGACAGAGUGAGACUCCAUCUCAAAAAAGAAAAGCAGCAUGGUGCUAUAUAUGCCGAUUGUUUUAAGAUAUUCAUAUCAUUUUGUAAUUUCAUUUCUAGAAGUCUGUUGUAAGGCAAAGAAAUAUAAAACUUUAUUAUCAAAGAUACUCAUUGCAGUAUGAUUUAUAAUUUUUUUAAUGAAAUAACCUGAAAACUGUCCAACAAUAGUUGGAGUGGUAAGUUCUGAUACAACCUGUCAGUGGAGCAUUAUGUAGCCAUUAAAAAAAAUGUUUAGAGA